rnacentral:rRNA from 1 species
UAGGGAAUCUUCGGCAAUGGGGGCAACCCUGACCGAGCAACGCCGCGUGAGUGAAGAAGGUUUUCGGAUCGUAAAGCUCUGUUGUAAGAGAAGAACGUGUGUGAGAGUGGAAAGUUCACACAGUGACGGUAACUUACCAGAAAGGGACGGCUAACUACGUGCCAGCAGCCGCGGUAAUACGUAGGUCCCGAGCGUUGUCCGGAUUUAUUGGGCGUAAAGCGAGCGCAGGCGGUUUAAUAAGUCUGAAGUUAAAGGCAGUGGCUUAACCACUGUUGGCUUUGGAAACUGUAAGACUUGAGUGCAGGAGGGGAGAGUGGAAUUCCAUGUGUAGCGGUGAAAUGCGUAGAUAUAUGGAGGAACACCGGUGGCGAAGGCGGCUCUCUGGUCUGUAACUGACGCUGAGGCGCGAAAGCGUGGGGAGCAAACAGG